UACGGAGGGUGCAAACGUUGCUCGGAAUCAUUGGGCGUAAAGCGCACGUAGGCGGCCUGUUAAGUCGGGUGUGAAAGCCCUGGGCUCAACCCUGGAAUGCCGGUGGAAACUGGCGAUCUUGAGUCCGGAAGAGGUGAGUGGAACUCCUAGUGUAGAGGUGGAAUUCGUAGAUAUUAGGAAGAACACCAGUGGCGAAGGCGGCUCACUGGUCCGGUACUGACGCUGAGGUGCGAAAGCGUGGGGAGCAAACAGG
rnacentral:rRNA from 1 species